rnacentral:rRNA from 1 species
AACGAACGCUGGCGGCAGGCUUAACACAUGCAAGUCGAACGCCCCGCAAGGGGAGUGGCAGACGGGUGAGUAACGCGUGGGAACAUACCCUUUCCUGCGGAAUAGCUCUGGGAAACUGGAAUUAAUACCGCAUACGCCCUACGGGGGAAAGAUUUAUCGGGGAAGGAUUGGCCCGCGUUGGAUUAGCUAGUUGGUGGGGUAAAGGCCUACCAAGGCGACGAUCCAUAGCUGGUCUGAGAGGAUGAUCAGCCACAUCGGGACUGAGACACGGCCCAAACUCCUACGGGAGGCAGCAGUGGGGAAUAUUGGACAAUGGGCGCAAGCCUGAUCCAGUCAUGCCGCGUGAGUGAUGAAGGCCUUAGGGUUGUAAAGCUCUUUCACCGAUGAAGAUAAUGACGGUAGUCGGAGAAGAAGCCCCGGCUAACUUCGUGCCAGCCGCCGCAGUAACAC